GAUCUUCAUAUUAUUUUUAUAUUCUUCACUCUUAGUUUACCAACAAAACUCUAAUUUUUCCUUAAGAAUAGUAGUAAAAUACUCUAGUUGUAGCUCCUACUACAGCCUAUCCUAUCCUCUCCAUCUUCUUUUGAAUAAGUAUUAUGAUGGUAGCGAAAAUCUUUUAAGAUAAAGGCACAAGAGCCCACACUAUUAUCAUC
rnacentral:lncRNA from 1 species